GUCUCUGUAGCUUAACUACAAAGCACGACACUGAAGAUGUCAAGAUGGCUGCCACAAACACCCAGAGACA
rnacentral:tRNA from 1 species